GCUUUCGUAGUGUAACGGUUAGCACACUCGGCGCGUAAUGGCAGAGGUCCAAGUUCGAGUCUCGGCGACAGCA
rnacentral:tRNA from 1 species